rnacentral:lncRNA from 1 species
GACUGGGCUGUUAGAAAGGUGGCAUGCUGGAUUGUUACAUAAAUUUCCUUCACAAAGCAACUUGAGAGGACGUUGAAUAUCAGUUUCCAUCACAUGGUUCAGCAGGGAUGUUAGUUUGUCCAUGGGGUAGAACUAAGGUGACCUUCUGUCAAGGAACUCAGAUUGGAAAUGAAGAAUAAAACUGGCCGGGCAUGGCGGCCCACGCCUGUAAUCCCAGCACUUUGGGAGGCUGAGGCGUGUGGAUCACGAGGUCAGGAGAUCGAGAACAUCCUGGCUAACACGGUGAAACCCCAUCUCUACUAAGAAUACAAAAACUUAUCUAGGCGUGGUGGCGGGUGCCUGUAGUCCCAGCUACUCAGGAGG